CAGAAACCAGUUUCUGCAGGUCUUCCCUGAAUAUGCAGCAGGGAAACAGAAACUGGAUGUAUUAUUCUCUUAGGGAGUGUGAUUGACAGCUUUUUCUAUUCAUUGUGUCUUCUCUUUCCAGUGAUGAGAUUCUGAGAUGGCUUCCUGCAGCCUGAAAAUGACUGAGCGACUCAGUGGAGAAGGAGCAGAUUGACUAACUGGAAAGCUAACGUCUCUGGAAGCAAUUGCUGCUGGGCAGUGCGUCCUGGCUGAGAACAUGACCUUCUGAAUGCCCCAUCAAAGCAAUUGGAGGGCUCCUGCUACAGAACAGUGUCAAAGACAAAAAGCCCAAGAGGAGCUGUGUGCUUUGGAGAUGAAAGCUGAGAAAUCUGAUGAAAUCCAGUCCCCUUUUCAUAAGGAUUUGCAAGACAACACAGUCCCAUACUUCUUAGACACAAAAUUCUUCAUAAUGUGGUGUGCUCUGCAUUAAUGACGUGAACGCAGUGCAGUCUGUGCAGUCC